rnacentral:lncRNA from 1 species
UGGAAAACUCUAAAAAAAUGGUGGCAUUCCACCAUACGUGAUUAUCAAUGGAUCACUGACAGAGGACUAAGGUGCCCUUGUAAAGGGGGAAAAAAUGAGAGAAAUUUCAGUAUCUUGCACGCCUAGCAGCCAUAGAGAUGGAGUACAUAGAGAAUAUCAAAAUUUAGUCCAACAAUCUUAUAAAGAAAAGGAGUUUGGUACGAAUCCACAAGCGUCGAUGGUAGUAGAAAAGGACUCUGCCACUGAAGCCAUUGGUGGUGUUGCCACCAUUGUAGUUUUUUAACAUGUGG